rnacentral:rRNA from 1 species
CACGUAGGGGGCGAGCGUUGUCCGGAUUUAUUGGGCGUAAAGAGCUCGUAGGCGGCUCGGUAAGUCAGGUGUGAAAACUCUAGGCUCAACCUAGAGACGCCACCUGAUACUGCUGUGGCUAGAGUCCGGUAGGGGAGCAUGGAAUUCCUGGUGUAGCGGUGAAAUGCGCAGAUAUCAGGAGGAACACCAGUGGCGAAGGCGGUGCUCUGGGCCGGAACUGACGCUGAGACGCGAAAGCGUGGGGAGCAAACAGG